UACGGAGGGAGCUAGCGUUGUUCGGAAUUACUGGGCGUAAAGCGCACGUAGGCGGCGUAGCAAGUCAGGGGUGAAAUCCCGGGGCUCAACCCCGGAACUGCCUCUGAAACUGCUAGGCUAGAAUCUUGGAGAGGCGAGUGGAAUUCCGAGUGUAGAGGUGAAAUUCGUAGAUAUUCGGAAGAACACCAGUGGCGAAGGCGACUCGCUGGACAAGUAUUGACGCUGAGGUGCGAAAGCGUGGGGAGCAAACAGG
rnacentral:rRNA from 1 species